GACGAACGCUGGCGGCGUGCUUAACACAUGCCAGUCGAACGGAAAGGCCCUGCUUUUGUGGGGUGCUCGAGUGGCGAACGGGUGAGUAACACGUGAGUAACCUGCCCUUGACUUUGGGAUAACUUCAGGAAACUGGGGCUAAUACCGGAUAGGAGCUCCUGCUGCAUGGUGGGGGUUGGAAAGUUUCGGCGGUUGGGGAUGGACUCGCGGCUUAUCAGCUUGUUGGUGGGGUAGUGGCUUACCAAGGCUUUGACGGGUAGCCGGCCUGAGAGGGUGACCGGCCACAUUGGGACUGAGAUACGGCCCAGACUGCUACGGGAGGCAGCAGUGGGGAAUAUUGCACAAUGGGCGGAAGCCUGAUGCAGCAACGCCGCGUGCGGGAUGACGGCCUUCGGGUUGUAAACCGCUUUCGCCUGUGACGAAGCGUGAGUGACGGUAAUGGGUAAAGAAGCACCGGCUGACUACGUG
rnacentral:rRNA from 1 species